rnacentral:rRNA from 1 species
GGUCAAGCGAACAAGUGCAUGUGGUGGAUGCCUUGGCGAUCACAGGCGAUGAAGGACGCGGUAGCCUGCGAAAAGCUACGGGGAGCUGGCAAACGAGCUUUGAUCCGUAGAUGUCCGAAUGGGGAAACCCACUCCUUUUGGAGUAUCCAUGGCUGAAUACAUAGGCCAUGUGAAGCGAACGCGGUGAACUGAAACAUCUAAGUAACCGCAGGAAAAGAAAUCAACCGAGAUUCCCAAAGUAGUGGCGAGCGAAAUGGGAUGAGCCUUGCACUCUUUAUUUGUAUUGUUAGCCGAACGCUCUGGAAAGUGCGGCCAUAGCAGGUGAUAGCCCUGUAGGCGAAAACAGUAUGAAAGAACUAGGUGUGCGACAAGUAGGGCGGGACACGUGAAAUCCUGUCUGAAGAUGGGGGGACCAUCCUCCAAGGCUAAAUACUCGUGAUCGACCGAUAGUGAACCAGUACCGUGAGGGAAAGGCGAAAAGAACCCCGGGAGGGGAGUGAAAUAGAUCCUGAAACCGCAUGCAUACAAACAGUCGGAGCCUCGCAAGGGGUGACGGCGUACCUUUUGUAUAAUGGGUCAGCGACUUACGUUCAGUAGCAAGCUUAACCGUAUAGGGCAGGCGUAGCGAAAGCGAGUCCGAAUAGGGCGUUCAGUUGCUGGGCGUAGACCCGAAACCAAGUGAUCUAUCCAUGGCCAGGAUGAAGGUGCGGUAACACGUACUGGAGGUCCGAACCCACUAACGUUGAAAAGUUAGGGGAUGAGCUGUGGAUAGGGGUGAAAGGCUAAACAAACUUGGAAAUAGCUGGUUCUCUCCGAAAACUAUUUAGGUAGUGCCUCGUGUCUCACCUUCGGGGGUAGAGCACUGUCAUGGUUGGGGGGUCUAUUGCAGAUUACCCCGCCAUAGCAAACUCCGAAUACCGAAGAGUGCAAUCACGGGAGACAGACAUCGGGUGCUAACGUCCGGUGUCAAGAGGGAAACAACCCAGACCGCCAGCUAAGGUCCCCAAAUAUAGCUAAGUGGGAAACGAAGUGGGAAGGCUAAAACAGUCAGGAGGUUGGCUUAGAAGCAGCCACCCUUUAAAGAAAGCGUAAUAGCUCACUGAUCGAGUCGUCCUGCGCGGAAGAUGUAACGGGGCUAAGCUAUAUACCGAAGCUGCGGAUGCGAGCUUUGCUCGCAUGGUAGGAGAGCGUUCCGUAAGCCUGCGAAGGUGCGUUGAAAAGCGUGCUGGAGGUAUCGGAAGUGCGAAUGCUGACAUGAGUAGCGAUAAAGGGGGUGAAAGGCCCCCUCGCCGUAAGCCCAAGGUUUCCUACGCAACGUUCAUCGGCGUAGGGUGAGUCGGCCCCUAAGGCGAGGCAGAAAUGCGUAGCUGAUGGGAAGCAGGUCAAUAUUCCUGCACCAUUGUUAGAUGCGAUGGGGGGACGGAUCGCGGAAGGUUGUCCGGGUGUUGGAAGUCCCGGUCGCUGCAUUGGAGAAGGCGCUUAGGCAAAUCCGGGCGCGCAAUUCAAGGGUGUGGCGCGAGCUCCUU